CCUUUGGUGAAAAUUGGGGUUUUGAGAGUUUCUACCUCCAUUGAAGCUUGAGGAGCCAUCAAUCCUUGGUUGUGCGACCAUUGGUGGAUUGAGACAUUUGGACCAACCGUGAGUGAUCAACCAUUGGAGCAAGCUAUGGAGCUUGAAUAGCUCAUUGGAAUUGGUGUAUGUUUGUAAAAGUUGAUUGCUGAAACUGUUGGUGAAGAACAUAGGUUGACUGAAGCAUUGAGGUAAGGAUGCUGCAGGAGCCUCUGGUGGCAAGUGGCCAUAUCUGGAUUAUGCAUGAAAUGUGGCAC